AGUCACGCGCACUCACAUCGAUGGCCUUUGCGAGGCACGGCACACCGGGCGGCACGUUUGUGGCCUCAAAUACGGCGCGCACCGCCAGAGAGUACGACGGCUGCGAGAUGCAGCCGGCCUCUAUCGGGGGCACAUCAUCUUCAUCGUCGCUGUCGUCACUGUCGUCCUCUUCAAUGACGGGGUUGCGUGCCGUGCGUACGCACAUGGCCAUGUAGACGCGCUGCAUAGCGCGUGCCAUGGUUCCAUAGGUUGUUUGGGUGAGUCCGUCAUUGGGGCUUUUGACGCUGUCGCUGUUGUCGUCGCUGUUGUCGUCGUCGCCCCUGUCGUUCCCACUGAUGCCGUUGUGACCAUCACCCCGACCCGCUGCGCCGGCGCUGGUCACACCAAACGGAGGGGGCCGACCGCGCGUACCGCACGGAACGGCGCACUCGCGGUCGACGAGGCACGCAACGGCUCUGCAUGUGGGUACCAGUAUGUCGAUACGCGGUACGCGCAUGUCGAUAAUGUCGUCGACAAGGGACAAGAGUCCAUCGACCCCGAGGCGCCCGCCAAUCUCCUCGUGUGCGACCAUGCGCUCAAACAUGGUGGUGAGUGAGGCGUUGGCGACGCGCACGAGCAGACGCCGGGCCUCAUCUGGCGAGUCGACGUCGCCGGGCGCCAGCGCGUCGAGACAGUAGAGUACGCCUUCGUGGUCGCCGGCAACUACGCGCUCGCGCAGGUAAGCGCCCGACGGGGCAUCAUGGUAAUGGAGAUCGUCGCCUUGGUCGUGCCAGGCAUAGUCGAAAUGCGCCUCUUGCGACACGCGCUGGCGCUUGGGCAAGAGGCGUUCGGCGCGCGCGAUGAUGGCAUCACGCUGAUGUUGCUCCAUGGGCAACUGCCCAAAGGGACCGCAUAUGCCCCCGUUGGGGUUGGUGCGCAACCAUCGGUAGACUUCGACAAUGUCAAAGGCGACGCGCACUUUGGAAUCGCUCACCGUGACAAUGAGACGUCUCUCGGGCGGCACUGCCGCAAUGAACUCGUCGCGCGUCAUCGACAGCGCAUCCACAGUAAAGCCUUGAUCGAACGCAUGGUCAAGGUUGUUGCUGUUGUCGUCAUCGCCGCCGUUUUCAAAAUCAUGUGCGAUCUGGCACGCUGGGCGCUUGCGUCCGCCGUCUGGCUGGCCAGCGUCGCCGGUUGGUUCUGACGGCGUAGACGGCGGGUGCAUUACCGUGUGGGCCUGGCGCCAUCGAGCCGCCCUACGACGCGCCCGCCGCAUUCGAUGACGACCCGUCGGAAGACGCACGCCAGAUGUCCUCGUGGUGUCACCGGAUCUGUGCUGUUGCUGGUGUGAUGCCUGCGUAAUGGUCGCCAUGGUGGUGGCUGGUGCGUAAUCGCAGACGAGGGCAAUCUCUAUGCGGCGGCGUCUCUCUUUCUCUUUGCUUCCUCGCCGACAGAUUCAACUUCUUUUUUUUUCCCA
rnacentral:lncRNA from 1 species